GAGGCCACUGCUAUCGGAGUUCGAUUAAGCCAUGCGAGUCGAGAGGUGCAAGACCUCGGCAUACUGCUCAGUAACACGUGGACAAUCUAACCUAUGGAAGGGGAUAACCCCGGGAAACUGGGAAUAAUACCCUAUAGACUAUGGAUGCUGGAAUGCUUUGUAGUCGAAAGGUCCGCCGCCAUAGGAUGGGUCUGCGGCCGAUUAGGUUGUUGUUGGGGUAACGGCCCAACAAGCCUGUAAUCGGUACGGGUUGUGGGAGCAAGAGCCCGGAGAUGGAUUCUGAGACACGAAUCCAGGCCCUACGGGGCGCAGCAGGCGCGAAAACUUUGCAAUGCGGGAAACCGUGACAGGGGAACUCCGAGUGCCCGUAAAAUCGGGCUGUCCAUCAGUUUAAAUAACUGGUGAAGAAAGGGCCGGGCAAGACCGGUGCCAGCCGCCGCGGUAAUACCGGCGGCUCGAGUGGUGGCCACUAUUACUGGGCUUAAAGCGUUCGUAGCUGGUUUGUUAAGUCUCUGGGGAAAUCUUCCGGCUCAACCGAAAGGCGUCUCAGGGAUACUGGCAGACUAGGGACCGGGAGAGGUGAGGGGUACUCCAGGGGUAGGAGUGAAAUCCUGUAAUCCUUGGGGGACCACCUGUGGCGAAGGCGCCUCACCAGAACGGCUCCGACAGUGAGGGACGAAAGCUGGGGGAGCAAACCGGAUUAGAUACCCGGGUAGUCCCAGCUGUAAACGAUGCGCGUUAGGUGUAUCGGUGACCACGAGUUACCGAGGUGCCGAAGAGAAAUCGUGAAACGUGCCGCCUGGGAAGUACGGUCGCAAGGCUGAAACUUAAAGGAAUUGGCGGGGGAGCACCACAACAGGUGGAGCCUGCGGUUU
rnacentral:rRNA from 1 species